GGAAAUGAAGACACCCACCUAACACAAUAUCCAGAAGUAGGUGGCAGGAGGAACAUGCAGCUGCUUGAGCAAGUCGUCCAGGAUCCAGCUCUUCCAGAUUCCUGCGGCACCAUCCUCCACACGUGGCAUUCUUCCUCAUGAUUAUAAGAAGAGGAUGUCUGGACACUCAGAGAGACAGCAGGGACACCCAUGCACAAAGGAAAGGCCAUGUGAGGACGCUGUGAGAAGGCGGCUGUCUGCAAGCCAAGGAGAGAGGUCUCAAGAGAAACUGGCCUGGCAGCCACCUUGCUCUCAGACUUGUAGCCUCCAGAAUGGAUCGGGUCAGAAUGUGUAUUCAGUGCACCUCGAAGUCAUGUCAUGGAAUCAAAAUGUAUUAAUCAAACCCCUACUGUGCGCGGAGACUGUGCUGGUCCUGAAAUAGAAGAUGGUUAGGAAAAGCAGGUGCUUUUUGAGAACUGCUAUUUGAGAGACCAGGUGGAACAGUGGUUAUAGGCAGAGACUGAGGGGUAAGACUGACCAGGCUUCAAUCAUGGCCCUUCUUCACUAGCUGCAGGACUUAGGAAAGG